AACGAACGCUGGCGGCAGGCUUAACACAUGCAAGUCGAACGCACCGCAAGGUGAGUGGCAGACGGGUGAGUAACACGUGGGAACGUCCCCCUCGGUUCGGAAUAACUCAGGGAAACUUGAGCUAAUACCGGAUACGUCCGAGAGGAGAAAGAUUUAUCGCCGAGGGAUCGGCCCGCGUCUGAUUAGCUAGUCGGUGAGGUAAUGGCUCACCAAGGCGACGAUCAGUAGCUGGUCUGAGAGGAUGAUCAGCCACACUGGGACUGAGACACGGCCCAGACUCCUACGGGAGGCAGCAGUGGGGAAUAUUGGACAAUGGGCGCAAGCCUGAUCCAGCCAUGCCGCGUGAGUGAUGAAGGCCUUAGGGUUGUAAAGCUCUUUUGCCAGGGAAGAUAAUGACAGUACCGGGAGAAUAAGCUCCGGCUAACUUCGUGCCAGCCGCCGCGGUAACAC
rnacentral:rRNA from 1 species